AUUGAACGCUGGCGGAAUGCUUUACACAUGCAAGUCGAACGGCAGCACGGGGGCAACCCUGGUGGCGAGUGGCGAACGGGUGAGUAAUACAUCGGAACGUGCCCAGUCGUGGGGGAUAACGUAGCGAAAGCUACGCUAAUACCGCAUACGAACUCUGGUUGAAAGCGGGGGAUCGCAAGACCUCGCGCGAUUGGAGCGGCCGAUGGCAGAUUAGGUAGUUGGUGGGGUAAAGGCUCACCAAGCCGACGAUCUGUAGCUGGUCUGAGAGGACGACCAGCCACACUGGGACUGAGACACGGCCCAGACUCCUACGGGAGGCAGCAGUGGGGAAUUUUGGACAAUGGGCGCAAGCCUGAUCCAGCCAUUCCGCGUGCAGGAUGAAGGCCCUCGGGUUGUAAACUGCUUUUGUACGGAACGAAAGUCUUGUCGGUGAACAAUCGGCGAGAUUGACUGUACCGCUGGAGGAAGCUCCGGCCAACUCCGUGCCAGCCGCCGCGGUAAUAC
rnacentral:rRNA from 1 species